AUUGAACGCUGGCGGCAUGCUUUACACAUGCAAGUCGAACGGUAACAGGCCGCAAGGUGCUGACGAGUGGCGAACGGGUGAGUAAUGCAUCGGAACGUGCCCAGUCGUGGGGGAUAACGCAGCGAAAGCUGCGCUAAUACCGCAUACGAUCUAUGGAUGAAAGCGGGGGACCGAAAGGCCUCGCGCGAUUGGAGCGGCCGAUGUCAGAUUAGGUAGUUGGUGGGGUAAAGGCUCACCAAGCCAACGAUCUGUAGCUGGUCUGAGAGGACGACCAGCCACACUGGGACUGAGACACGGCCCAGACUCCUACGGGAGGCAGCAGUGGGGAAUUUUGGACAAUGGGCGCAAGCCUGAUCCAGCAAUGCCGCGUGCAGGAAGAAGGCCUUCGGGUUGUAAACUGCUUUUGUACGGAACGAAACGGCUCUGGUUAAUACCUGGGGCUAAUGACGGUACCGUAAGAAUAUGCACCGGCUAACUACGUGCCAGCCGCCGCCGUAAUAC
rnacentral:rRNA from 1 species